rnacentral:rRNA from 1 species
AGAAGGUGAAAGCCCUGUAAUCGAAACCUUGCAUACACGGGACUGUAUCCAGAGUACCACGAGACACGUGAAACCUUGUGGGAAGCAGGGGGGACCACCCUCCAAGCCAAAAUACUGAUAUCGACCGAUAGCGCAUAGUACCGUGAGGGAAAGGUGAAAAGAACCCCUGGCGGGGAGUGAAAGAGAACCUGAAACCGUAUGUCUACAAACAGUCGAAGUCUGUAUAUAUAUCAGGACGACGGCGUGCCUAUUGAAGAAUGAACCGACGAGUUACUGUUGCUAGCGAGGUUAAGUGGAAAACAUGGAGCCGCAGCGAAAGCGAGUCUGAACAGGGCGUUCAGUUAGUAAUAGUAGACCCGAAACCGUAGUGAUCUAUCCAUGGCCAGGUUGAAGCACAGGUAAAAUUGUGUGGAGGACCGAACUCGUGAGCGUUGAAAAGCUUUGGGAUGAGUUGUGGAUAGGGGUGAAAUGCCAAUCGAACACGGAGAUAGCUGGUUCUCCCCGAAAUAGCUUUAGGGCUAGCCUCGAGGUUGAGAGUAUAGGCGGUAGAGCACUGAUCGGGCUAGGGGCCAUACCGGUUACCGAACCUAGUCAAACUACGAAUGGCUAUACUUAUACUCGGGAGUCAGACAGUGAAUGAUAAGGUCCAUUGUCAAGAGGGAAACAGCCCAGAACACCGACUAAGGUCCCAAAUGUUACACUAAGUGGCGAAGGAUGUGGAGUUUCCAAAACAACCAGGAUGUUGGCUUAGAAGCAGCCACCAUUUAAAGAGUGCGUAAUAGCUCACUGGUCGAGAGACUCUGCGCCGAAGAUGUCCGGGGCUAAAGUGUAAAACCGAAGUCGUGUCAUAUGCAGCAAUGUAUAUGGGUAGGGGAGCGUUCUCAUCGGGCUGAAGCAGUACCGUAAGGAGUUGUGGACUGAUGAGAAGUGAGAAUGUCGGUAUGAGUAGCGAAAAGAAUGGUGAGAAUCCAUUCCACCGAAAGCCUAAGGGUUCCUGAGCAACGAUCGUCGUCUCAGGGUAAGUCGGGACCUAAGCCGAGGCGGAAAAGCGUAGGCGAUGGACAACAGGUUGAAAUUCCUGUACCGGUGUGAAUCGUUUGAUCGAUGGAGUGACACAGUAAGGUAGGUCAGCACGCGAUUGGAAGUGCGUGUUUAAGCAGGUAGGUUGAGCUAUAGGCAAAUCCGUAGCUCUAAAAGCUGAGAUGUGAUGACGAGUUACUAGCGAUAGUAACGAAGUGAUUGAUCCUACACUGUCGAGAAAAGCUUCUAGGUAGAGACACAUCGCCCGUACCAAAACCGACACAGGUAGGCGGGGAGAGAAUCCUAAGGUGCGCGGGAAAACCCUCGUUAAGGAACUCGGCAAAAUGCCUCCGUAACUUCGGGAAAAGGAGGACUCAUGUAGUGUGAAGAGCAGCAACGCUUGGAGCAUGAAUGAGUGGCACAAGAGAGGCGCAAGCGACUGUUUACCACAAACACAGGUGCCUGCUAAAGCGAAAGCUGACGUAUAGGUGCUGACACCUGCCCGGUGCUGGAAGGUUAAGAGGAGGGGUUAGACUUCGGGUCGAAGCUCUGAAUUGAAGCCCCAGUAAACGGCGGCCGUAACUAUAACGGUCCUAAGGUAGCGAAAUUCCUUGUCGGG